rnacentral:rRNA from 1 species
UAAGACGUAGGGGGCGAGCGUUACCCGGAAUCACUGGGCGUAAAGGGCGAGUAGGCGGCCUGAUCAGUCGUGGGUGAAAACCUUGGGCUCAACCGAAGGAGCGCACACGAGACGGUGAGGCUAGAGGGCAGCAGAGGCGGGUGGAAUUCCCGGAGUAGCGGUGGAAUGCGUAGAGAUCGGGAGGAACCCCAGAGGCGAAGGCGACCCGCUGGGCUGAGCCUGACGCUGAGGCGCGAAAGCGUGGGGAGCAAACAGGAUUAGAUACCCUGGUAGUCCACGCCCUAAACGAUGGACGCUAGGUAUGGGGGGUAUCGACCCCCUCCGUGCCGAAGCUAACGCGAUAAGCGUCCCGCCUGGG